rnacentral:sRNA from 1 species
AAGAAAAAUCCAAAAAAACCAAAAAAAAAACCAAAAA